rnacentral:misc_RNA from 1 species
UUGCCAUAAAAUCUUUUAUUUCUGUUCUUGAUUUAAUCAGUUGUAUCACAUUUAGAAAUCUAUAAAAAUAAAGAAAUAAACAAACUCAAAAGGAUUGAAACAAUGGGCUACUUGGCAGAUAUCACUCCAAGUCCUGCAUGAUUGGCUAAGCCAUUGCUAAAGUUCUCUAGGUUGAAACAUUGGGGGUACUAGAAUGUUUGAUGUUUCUAAAACAUUGUUAAUAACAUCCUAUCCGAGAUACAAGAUUGCAGGCGAGAAGCAAAUCCAAAGCAUGCAAUAAUUUCCCUUUCAUGCAAUAAUCUUGGGACAAAUGAGGCUGGUGCUUCGAGAUGACACUGAUGAGGCCAACCACAAUCCUAAUCUAGAAAAGUGCCCAUGAAUAUUGCUGCUGCAAGCACAGACAUGCACUACGCAACUUCUUAGUAUACUUGCAGAGAUUGGCUUCUUAGCAUGAAUCUUACAGACUUACACUGAAACAAAAUAUAUCAGCAGCAUAACAAACUUAGACAGGAUAGCAACCAUAAACACCCCAUAAUAUAAUAGUUACAAUCGGCAUGGUUAUAAUAUUCGACCUGUUGCUGUUAUAAAAUAAAAAAAGGAAUGUUUAGUUGUGUAGGUUGCAAAAGUUUUCUCUGGAUGAUAAUUGAACUUUCUUGUUCACAUUCCAAGAGUUUCCCUAUCAUUCUCAACAAAUUUGAAACACAACGAUGAUUCAUCACAACAGUUUUCUAGCGGAGAAGAUGUUGAAUUGCAGCAACAGCAUCACCUUUAUGCUCCCUCAAGGUUCUCUCUGCAACCUUCUUGUCCAACUGUUUUGCACAUCAAAGAAAGGAAACUGUUAGUAGCCACAGGAUGAAAUUACAAAUGUUCCUAACGACUGAAAAGUAACCUCUAGUUCAUUGGCAAUUAUGUCAACAUCAGCAGCAUUGAUCUUAACAGCAGCCAAUUCUUUCUCCCUGUAAAAGACAGCAUUUGCAUGAAAAAUAUGUAUACAUGAAAGGCACAUAGAGAAAAAAUAUUGAGACAAAUCAAAGUAUGGGAAUGAAUUUCAAAGAAAAUGUUCAUGCUUCAGUCCCCUCAGACACCAAUUUGCAACUUGACAAGGUUAGAUAUAAGAUGAUAAAUGAUUUGAAAAUUCACAUCUAGUCCUAAAUUCUUGCUACUUAAAGAUAUUUCCGAUGACAAAACAAAGAGAGAACAAAAGCAUAUGGAUGACUACUUCCAGAAAAGUGUGCAAAAAUAAAAGGGAAUACUUAUUCACAUGCUAUUUCAAAUAAAUAUUGUGACAUAGAGUUGAACAUUACACAUGAAUUAUGUUUCCACAUUUUAUCUGGCAUUGUCAAACUGUGACAAGCUUAUCAAAGGCCAGAGGCAUUCAACUACCUAUCUUUCACUAUCACUCCAUUGUAACAUGCAAACUGUAAAGAUAUCUCUUCCAUACCAUUUGACAAAGAUUUGUUUUCUAAACACACUUCAACUACCUAUCUUUCACUAUCACUCCAUUGUAACAUGCAAACUGUAAAGAUAUCUCUUCCAUACCAUUUGACAAAGAUUUGUUUUCUAAACACACUUCAACUACCUAUCUUUCACUAUCUAUUGAAAAUUGCCAAAGUUAUGAGUUUUCAAUCCAUUGAUUGUUCUGUUUUAUUCAAAACUGUUCUUUCAAACAUGAAUCCCUAUCAUAUCCAACAGAGUAAGCCAAGCGUAAAGAACAU